UUAGUGGUUGGAGGUAAAAUAUUAUUUGAUAUAUGGGCCAAAAAUUUGAUAGUAUAUAUUAUUUAUGUGCUAUUAAAAAAAUUCUAAACGGGACUCGGUUAAUAAUUGGAUUAUUUUAUUAAAUUAUAUUUGUAAAUAAAUUUAGAGGUAAACUUAUGAAAAUAAAAUAAAAUAAUUAAUAAAAUAAUAAAAUAAUGCAUAUAGUGGAGGAUAUAGAUUAUUUUAUUAUUUUGUAAAUGAUAAAAAGGAUUACAUAACAGCUGUAUAAAAUUAUUUUAGAAAAUUUAAUUUUUUUUGCUAGAUUUAGCUAAAUGCUCUAUAAUUUUUUCGUAAAAUUAAUUUAAUAAAAAUUAUUUUUUGUCUAAAGCUCGGCCAAACAUUUGACAUUUCAAACUCUGCUUCCCACUAAAACUUAUCACAAGAAUUUUUAAUUAUUACUUUUUUAAGCAUUUUUUAAUAUAUAUAUUUUUUAUUUUUUAACCAUUAUUAUCUCCUUUCCGGUUUGAUAAUUGAUACGCACUACCGUCCAAUUUUAAGCACUGUAAGCUCUGAUUACUGCACGGCAGUUUCCUCUCGCAGUAAAACAUUCCUUCUUUUUUUUUUUAUUUUUAUUUUGACUGAAUUGCAAGAAAUUUUUAUGUUAAAAUCUGAUUUUUUUUUUUUUUGGUCAUUCAAAAAUCUAUAUUUUGACCACUUAAAAAUUAAAAAAUAUUUAUAAAUAUACGGUGUUAAUUGUGAUGACAAAAUAAUCAAAUUACCUUUCAUUCUCUUUGCCUUCUCUCUAAUUCCACUCAUCCGCACCCUCUCCUCUUUCAUCCUUCGCGCCUUACUCGACCCUAGCUCCGACUUUAUUUUCUACACCUGCUCCUCCGCUCCUCCAGCAUUCUCGUUGCCCCCUCCAUUUCUGCUACUGUAGGGAGGAAAUCGGGGUGGACGUGGACGAAAAGGUCGUGAGGGCGACAGUGAGGUGGCGGAGGAAGGUGAGGGCAUGUGUGUGGGUACGGACAGAGGAGUGGGAGAAGACGAGGAGGCGCGACCGAGGACGUUGGUGAGAAAAGAAUAAGCGUAUUUAGAUGAUGAUUUCAAGAAUAUUUUGGAUAUAAUAAUAGAAUAAAAACGGAAUCCUAACAGAACAGUUACGGUGGGGAUCGAAGUAAAUAUUUCUCAAUUUAUAAAAAGACGGAAUAUAUAGUUUCAAAAGUCACAAAGAAAAAUAAAGAAAAUCGGAUAUUAACAGAAAAUUUUCUUUAAUUCAGUCUUUUAGUUUUAUUUUUAUUUUUUGGUUAAAUCAUUACACUCCCAAACCUUUUCAAAUUUUAAAUUAUUAUUCUUUU
rnacentral:lncRNA from 1 species